UACGUAGGGUGCAAGCGUUGUCCGGAAUUAUUGGGCGUAAAGAGCUCGUAGGCGGCUUGUCGCGUCGGCUGUGAAAACCUGGGGCUCAACCCCGGGCCUGCAGCCGAUACGGGCAAGCUAGAAUUCGGUAGGGGAGACUGGAAUUCCUGGUGUAGCGGUGAAUGCGCAGAUAUCAGGAGGAACGACCGGUGGCGAAGGCGGGUCUCUGGGCCGAUAUUGACGCUGAGGAGCGAA
rnacentral:rRNA from 1 species